GACGAACGCUGGCGGCGUGCCUAAUACAUGCAAGUCGAGCGCUCAAGGUUGGUGCUUGUACCACCUGGAUGAGCAGCGAACGGGUGAGUAACGCGUGGGGAAUCUGCCUUUGAGCGGGGGACAACAUCUGGAAACGAAUGCUAAUACCGCAUAAAAUCUUUAAACACAAGUUUCAAGUUUGAAAGAUGCACUUGCAUCACUCUAUGAUGAUACCGCGGUGUCUUAGCUAGUUGGUGAGGUAAAGGCCCACCAAGGCGAUGAUACAUAGCCGACCUGAGAGGGUGGUCGGCCACAAUGGGAAUGGGACACGGCCCAAACUCCUACGGGAAGCAGCAGUAGGGGAUCUUCGGCAAUGGACGGAAGUCUGAACGAGCAAAGCCGCGUGAGUGAAGAAGGGUUUCGGAUCGUAAAACUCUGGUGGUAAGGAAGAACGAUGGUGGGAGUGGAAAGCGCAUCAAGUGACGGUAACUACUCAGAAAGGGACGGCUAACUACGUG
rnacentral:rRNA from 1 species